CUACGGGCUGCUCCAGUGAGGAAUAUUGCACAAUGGGGGGAACCCUGAUGCAGCAACGCCGCGUGGAGGAUGACGCAUUUCGGUGUGUAAACUCCUUUUAUAUGUCAAGAAAAUGACGGUAGCAUAUGAAUAAGUACCGGCUAACUCCGUGCCAGCAGCCGCGGUAAUACGGAGGGUGCAAGCGUUAUUCGGAAUCACUGGGCGUAAAGGACGCGUAGGCGGGUUGGAAAGUCAGGUGUGAAAUCCUACAGCUUAACUGUAGAACUGCACUUGAAACUUCUAAUCUAGAGUAUGGGAGGGGGAGAUGGAAUUAGUGGUGUAGGGGUAAAAUCCGUAGAUAUCACUAGGAAUACCUAAAGCGAAGGCGAUCUCCUGGAACAUUACUGACGCUAAGGCGUGAAAGCGUGGGGAGCAAACAGGAUUAGAUACCCCGGUAGUC
rnacentral:rRNA from 1 species